AUGGCUUCCGAGGGCCCUCCACGCACAGCCGCCAGCAACACAUUAUGCUCAUCUGCUCAGUCACAGCAGAUGGACGGCCCAUACGUCCCCAGAGUGGACACCUGCACACACGCCUCCCAGUCCUGCCCACCUCCCUUCCCCACCUGUGCAACCCCCGACACAUACACACACACACACACCCAUGGACAACAGCCACACACGGCCACUUGCGGCCACACGUGCACUCACAUGGCUUUGGAGUGUGUCCCUCAAUCCUGGUGUGUGGGGCCGGAGAGGGUGCUGGGGGGUACCAGGUGGCGUCCAGACCCUGGAGGCACAGGACCAAGGCUCAAGCCCCACAAGGGAAGUUCUCUUCUGAAAGUGGUCUCGCCAACCACUUCUGCUUCCACAGACCUAAUUCUGGGCUUGCCACCGGAUACCCGUGUGUGUGGCACACACACGGGGAAGUCCACGCUAUUAUUAUCCACGGGGCUCACGGAGGCAAACCCGGGGGCCAAAGGCACGGGAGGAGGUAAGUUCCAGAGCCAGGAAGUGAACCACAGGCGUGACUGUGUCCUGGGGCCAGCAAGGAGGGCACAGCACAAAAGACACAGGGGCCCCCACCCGAGCCCAGUGUCCAUCAAUGGUUGCCUUGUGCGAUUCGGAAGCUCAAUUAUUUGUGCCUCAGCACACUUAGUUUUCACCUGCACCCUGGGCACGCAAUGCUUUGGCUUCCAGUGCUGGCUUACGAGUGAAGCUGUGUGGGCACAGAGAGGCUUAGCAGCUUGCCUGAGGUCACACAGCUCACAAGUGGAUUUGAACCCAAACCGCAGGGGUUGGGCACCUGCAGCCCACACUGCUGUGCUGCCCUACAUGGACCCCCGACAGUCUCGGUCCACUGUGCUUUUCUUCCCUGGAUCCCUUCUGCACUCUCAGCUACAGGGGAGGGUCCUUCUCCUGAGUCUGCGUCCCUGGAGGGGCCGCCCCUCACUGCGGAGGACGUCGCCUGUGUGCCCCAUCCAGGCAGGCUGCAGCUUGACCUCAGUCCCCACCAUGAGGAGGGACCUGGCAGGAACGUCCCCUGAAAGCCGCACCCUAGGAAGCAAGGACCACGUGGCCUCCUCUGCCACCGUGGAUCCAGGGGACCUCUGGACACUCCUGUUGGAUGAAUAUCUCUGGUGGGCUGAGCCUGUUCAUCCUGAUCCCCCAACCCCUCCAGGGUCCCUCUCAAGCUUCAGUCUGGGCCAUCACGGGUCCAAGGCAGUGCCUGGCACGUGGCCGAGGUUGGGCGGAGUCAUCAGGAACAAUGUGGGGCUGCAGCCAUGAGGACCCCUCUGCUGGGAUCCCCAGCUUCAACUCAAGCCCAGUGAUGCUCUAAUCCCAGCCUUACCAGGGGCUUGGUGCAGAGUCCCAGCCACAGUGCUAACUGAAGAAGCUCAGCACCUAGGACAGAACCCUGCGCGCCUUGGAAAGGACCCUCCCUUCUCACCCACUCCCCCUUACGGAGCUGACCCCAUGUCUCCAACUUCUGGCAUGGUGUUAGAAGGAAGGAAAAGGUAUAUAUUUGAAUUGGUGGAAAGGAGGAGGUAAUAGACUUGUCAAAUCCAGGGGGAGAUGUCUUAAUUUUUUUUUUUUUAACUGAUACAGUGGGGACAGUGCUGUGGUGCAGCAGGUUAAAGCCCUGGCCUGAAGUGCCAGCAUCCCAUAUGGGCGCCAGUUCAAAGUCACAGCUGCUCCUCUUCCACUCCAGUUUGCUGCUAUGGCCAGAGAAAGCAGUAGAAGAUGGCCCAAGUGCUUGGGCCCCUGCACCCACAGGGGAGACCAGGAAGAGGCACCUGACUCCUGGCUUCAGAUCGGUGCAGCUCUGGCCAUUGACGCCAUUUGGGGAGUAAACCAGCAGAAGGAAGACUUUUCUGUCUCUCCCUCUCACUGUCUGUAACGCUACCUCUCAAAUAAAUAAAUUUAAAAUAAAAACUGAUACA
rnacentral:lncRNA from 1 species